rnacentral:misc_RNA from 1 species
GAAAUGCGAUAAGUAAUGUGAAUUGCAGAAUUCAGUGAAUCAUCGAAUCUUUGAACGCACAUUGCGCCCGCCAGCACUCUGGCGGGCAUGCCUGUCCGAGCGUCAUUUCAACCCUCGAGCACCGCUCGGCGUUGGGGGAGCGGCCCGCGCGCCGCCCCCCGAAAUGCAGUGGCGACCUCGCCGCGUUCCUCCCCUGCGCAGUAGCUCUCAAGAGAACCUCGCAUCGGCGGCGCGGCGGCGGUCACGCCGUGAAACACCCCCCUCAAGAGUUGACCUCGGAUCAGGUAGGGAUACCCGCUGAACUUAA